rnacentral:rRNA from 1 species
CCAGACUCCUACGGGAGGCAGCAGUAGGGAAUCUUCGGCAAUGGACGGAAGUCUGACCGAGCAACGCCGCGUGAGUGAAGAAGGUUUUCGGAUCGUAAAGCUCUGUUGUAAGAGAAGAACGAGUGUGAGAGUGGAAAGUUCACACUGUGACGGUAUCUUACCAGAAAGGGACGGCUAACUACGUGCCAGCAGCCGCGGUAAUACGUAGGUCCCGAGCGUUGUCCGGAUUUAUUGGGCGUAAAGCGAGCGCAGGCGGUUAGAUAAGUCUGAAGUUAAAGGCUGUGGCUUAACCAUAGUACGCUUUGGAAACUGUUUAACUUGAGUGCAAGAGGGGAGAGUGGAAUUCCAUGUGUAGCGGUGAAAUGCGUAGAUAUAUGGAGGAACACCGGUGGCGAAAGCGGCUCUCUGGCUUGUAACUGACGCUGAGGCUCGAAAGCGUGGGGAGCAAACAGGAUUAGAUACCCUGGUAGUCCACGCCGUAAACGAUGAGUGCUAGGUGUUAGACCCUUUCCGGGGUUUAGUGCCGCAGCUAACGCAUUAAGCACUCCGCCUGGGGAGUACGAACGCAAGGUUGAAACUCAAAGGAAUUGACGGGGGCCCG